UUGGUUCUCCGAGGUCAUUCCUUCAGUGCCAUAUGAUCCACUUGCUCUCAGGAAGGCUUUUGAAAAGGUCAGACAAGACCAUUGCCUGAAACUCAAAAAUAACAAUUUUAAGAUCCACCAUGGUCUAACUGUGUAGUCUUCUUUCAGGCUGUCAUCAAGAGGCUUAUGACGGACGUUCCAUUCGGUGUUCUACUCUCUGGUGGCCUAGACUCAUCAUUGGUUGCAGCCGUUACAGUUCGUCACCUGGCAGGGACAAAGGCUGCAAAGCGCUGGGGGACUAAGCUUCAUUCUUUUUGUGUCGGACUUGAGGUAUGGAACUGAAAAAGAUCAACAAUGACUGUAACCUUUAGCAGAUUUCCAACAAAUUGCACCACAAUAUUAUUACGCAGGGGUCACCUGAUCUGAAGGCCGCAAAGGAGGUAGCCAAUUACCUGGGGACCAUGCACCAUGAGUUCACCUUCACUGUUCAGGUAGCAAGCAUGAGCAGCCGCAUGCUUCAUCUGUUGACCAUACCAGACUAGUUGUUGUACUAACAGCACAAAGCAUUGCAGGACGGCAUUGAUGCAAUUGAGGAUGUGAUUUAUCACACCGAAACAUAUGAUGUGACGACAAUCAGGGCAAGCACGCCAAUGUUCCUGAUGUCACGCAAGAUCAAGUCACUUGGCGUCAAGAUGGUCAUCUCUGGUGAGGGUUCCGAUGAGAUUUUCGGAGGGUACCUCUACUUCCACAAGGCACCCAACAAAGAGGAGCUCCACCGUGAGACAUGUCAAAAGGUGAAUAAGAAAGAAAUUUUCAGAAAAAUGGCAGAUUCAGACACCCUGACAUAAUGAUUACACUGUAGAUCAAAGCUCUGCAUCAGUACGAUUGCUUGAGGGCCAACAAGGCAACAUCUGCAUGGGGACUCGAAGCACGUGUGCCAUUCCUGGACAAGGAGUUUAUCAAUGAGGCAAUGAGCAUAGAUCCUGAGUGGAAGAUGGUAUGCUCAAGCUCAAACCUUACGAAUCUAGAAAUUUGAGAAAGAGCAUACCAUAUUGUUGUAAAAUGUCUUCCUAGUUUCUACUUUUAGACAAUUACUAUAUCUGAUGUUACAGAUCCGACCUGAUCUUGGAAGAAUUGAGAAGUGGGUGCUGAGGAAAGCAUUUGAUGACGAGGAGCAACCAUUCCUG
rnacentral:lncRNA from 1 species